rnacentral:rRNA from 1 species
UAAGACGUAGGAUGCAAGCGUUGUCCGGAUUUAUUGGGCGUAAAGAGUUCGUAGGCGGUUACUUAAGUCUGGUGUUAAAGACGGGAGCUCAACUCCCGCAUGGCAUUGGAAACUGGGUGACUAGAGUGUGGUAGAGGUAUCGGGAAUUCCAGGUGUAGCGGUGAAAUGCGUAGAUAUCUGGAGGAACACCAGUGGCGAAAGCGCGAUACUGGGCCACAACUGACGCUGAGGAACGAAAGCCAGGGUAGCAAAAGGGAUUAGAUACCCCUGUAGUCCUGGCCGUAAACGAUGGAUACUAGGUGUUGGAGGAUUCGACCCCCUCAGUGCCGUAGCUAACGCGAUAAGUAUCCCGCCUGGGGAGUACGACCGCAAGGUUG